rfam:Citrus clementina cultivar Clemenules unplaced genomic scaffold scaffold_2, whole genome shotgun sequence.
GAAAAUGAUGAUAUGUAUUUGUCGCCCCAGUCUUAAUUUGCAUCUAAUUUACGAUGCAAUGUGGUGAUUGACAUUUGUAAUCUGAUUC